AACGAACGCUGGCGGCAUGCCUAACACAUGCAAGUCGAACGAGACCUUCGGGUCUAGUGGCGCACGGGUGCGUAACGCGUGGGAACCUGCCCUUAGGUUCGGAAUAACUCCCCGAAAGGGGUGCUAAUACCGGAUAAUGUCUUCGGACCAAAGAUUUAUCGCCUUUGGAUGGGCCCGCGUUGGAUUAGCUAGUUGGUAGGGUAAAAGCCUACCAAGGCUACGAUCCAUAGCUGGUCUGAGAGGAUGAUCAGCCACACUGGGACUGAGACACGGCACAGACUCCUACGGGAGGCAGCAGUGGGGAAUAUUGGACAAUGGGCGAAAGCCUGAUCCAGCAAUGCCGCGUGAGUGAUGAAGGCCUUAGGGUUGUAAAGCUCUUUUACCCGGGAUGAUAAUGACAGUACCGGGAGAAUAAGCUCCGGCUAACUCCGUG
rnacentral:rRNA from 1 species